GGAGGCCCUGAACACUAUGGAGGAGCAGGCCCGGCUGGUAGCAGAAAACAAGCAGAUCAAUCUCCAAAUUGAAGAUGAUGAUGAGGAGAAAAUCCUAGAAGCAAGUCCCAUGCUGAUGCGUAGUGAGGCUGGUUAUGGACAGAGGGUUUGGAAUUGGCUUAG